GAUGAACGCUGGCGGCGUGCCUAAUACAUGCAAGUCGAGCGAAGCGGGGACGGGUGAGUAACACGUCGAUAACCUCCUAUAAGACUGGGAUAACUUCGGGAAACCGGAGCUAAACCGGAAACUUUUCGCUGGUUCCGGGCUGUAUUAGCUAGUUGGUAAGGUAACGGCUUACCAAGGCAACGAUGCAUAGCCGACCUGAGAGGGUGAUCGGCCACACUGGAACUGAGACACGGUCCAGACUCCUACGGGAGGCAGCAGUAGGGAAUAUUCCGCAAUGGGCGAAAGCCUGACGGAGCAACGCCGCGUGAGUGAUGAAGGUCUUCGGAUCGUAAAACUCUGUUAUUAGGGAAGCGGUACCUAAACAGAAAGCCACGGCUAACUACGUGCCAGCAGCCGCGGUAAUAC
rnacentral:rRNA from 1 species